AUUGAACGCUGGCGGCAUGCUUUACACAUGCAAGUCGAACGGUAACAGGCCGCAAGGUGCUGACGAGUGGCGAACGGGUGAGUAAUGCAUCGGAACGUGCCCAGUCGUGGGGGAUAACGCAGCGAAAGCUGCGCUAAUACCGCAUACGAUCUAUGGAUGAAAGCGGGGGACCGUAAGGCCUCGCGCGAUUGGAGCGGCCGAUGUCAGAUUAGGUAGUUGGUGGGGUAAAGGCUCACCAAGCCAACGAUCUGUAGCUGGUCUGAGAGGACGACCAGCUACACUGGGACUGAGACACGGCCCAGACUCCUACGGGAGGCAGCAGUGGGGAAUUUUGGACAAUGGGCGCAAGCCUGAUCCAGCCAUGCCGCGUGCAGGAUGAAGGCCUUCGGGUUGUAAACUGCUUUUGUCAGGGAAGAAAUCUUCUGGGUUAAUACCUCGGGAGGAUGACGGUACCUGAAGAAUAAGCACCGGCUAACUACGUGCCAGCCGCCGCCGUAAAAC
rnacentral:rRNA from 1 species